UAUAUCAUUAAAGUCUCAGGUCAAUUGGCCUUAAUAUACAGGGAUUAUCCAUAUGGGUCUGCCCCCAUCAGGGGAGCUCGUUAGAAGCAGGGUUUUCUCUGGUUGGUAGAAGGAGUCAGAGAGAUUUGAAACAUGACAAAGACCUGAUGCCCCCUUGCUGGCUUGAAGAUGGAGGGGACCCAGGACCAAGAAUGUGGGUGGCUUCUAGAAGCUGAAAGCAGUGCAGCAAGGAAACGGGGGCUUCAGUCCUACCCGAGGAACUGAAUUCUGUCCACAACCUGAAUGAGCUUGGAAGCUGACUGUCCCAGAGCCCAACCCAGCUGACACUCUGAUUUCAGACUUGUGACACCCUAAGCAUAGAACUCAGCCGAGCCCACCAGGACUUCUGACCCACGAGCUGUGAGCUAAUAAAUAAAUAUAUGUGGUAAAAAUGGCAAACCUUUUUACAUGGGACUAGAGCCACCUGCAGCUUCUGACCAUAUGAAAUGUCGUCAUCUCCAUAUCUGUUUCUCCAGUUAUUAGCAUGGUCUUGGCCACCGGGCAGCUGAAUGUGAGACUACAGCUUCUAGGGCAGAAAAAACACACUGCCCUUUUUCCCUACUAAAGAUACGACAAUGACCUUUCUCCAUAGGGCAAGUAAUAGAACCAGGGUAGCUGGUCCCCAAAACUAAUUUCUUUCCCUCCUGAAUACACUGCUACCCUACAUCUCACGGACUUACUUGCAGUUAAGGGGGUCAUGUGACUGAGUUCUUUCUGGCCAACAGAAUGGAGGUGGAAAUGAUUGUGCCUUUUCUUGGUGACCUAGAAAAUCCUCCUGCAGGAUAUCCCGUUCUCCUUCGCUGAACAUCCUUCAGGGGGUCAGUAAGACCCAGUGUGAUCUUGGAAGUCACAUGUAGAAGAUGCCAGGGCCUCCAUCAGCAAGGGUCUCUGACUAAUUCACGGAGGAGCGAACCACACCUCACACUAUGGACUGGAAUGUAUGUGAGAAGUAAACUAUUAGGUUGAACAGCUGAGUUGGAACGUCUGUUUGUUAUAUGACCUACUACCAAUAAAUAGACAAGAAAUAGAGACAAUUAUUUACAAUCCUAACCUCUCCUUCAUCGAAGAAGAGAGUUAAAUAACAGGCACUAAAAUUUUCUAGACACAGAGAAAAAAAAUUAGCCUAAUAACCAUCAGUGGCCACAUCCACCCUCAUAGGUUACUACCUAGGUAGAUUAUGUGAGUCUAAAUUUAAAAGUAAAAGAGCAUUUGCCACAAAAUUUUUUAAAAUUGAUUCAUUAUGAACUUAUGUGUAAAAAUUACAAAGACUUAAGUCAGGACCCCUACUCUGCUUUUUUCCCAUAGCAUGUAUCAGUCCCCUUUUCUUAAAAUCACUGUAUUGAGGUAUAAUUGACAUACAAAAAGCUGCAGGUAUUUAAUAUAUACAACUUGAUGGGUUUGGCGAUAAGUACCACCCGUGAAACCAUCACCACAAUCAAAGCCAUAAUUUUC